rnacentral:tRNA from 1 species
GCGCCCGUAGCUCAGGGGACAGAGCAGGCGGCUUCUAUCCGCAAGGUCGGGGGUUCGAAUCCCUCCGGGCGCG